GUGUGUUCGCACGCAUGCACAGCCCCACUGGAAGGAAAGACUGCUGCCUUCUCAAGUCAUUUAUAGUACCAGCUUUGACAGGAGGCUGCCUGUGGCAGAACCUCCCACUGGCACCAUUCCCAUGGGUGGGGCCCUGGCCAGGCAGCUUUGGCCUUAGAUGCACAUCUUGGCACAUGCAGCUACAUGCUCACUUGCACACAGGCUCAUAUACAUGUCAGGACACAAGGUCCACGUGACAAGGUCGAGUCUGCCCAGGCUGGUUUCUCUAUGUUGGUGCUGCCUGUUUCCCUCCCAUCUUCCCAAGUGGCAGACCUGACAAGCACUAUCCUACCCCUUCGGCUGUCCUCAAAUGUAGCCUCCUGCCCUCUUGGUUCUGGACAGACUCUCAGAGCCUCCCUAUGUGCAUAAUCACAAGUGAGAGCAAAGGAGCCACUAAAGACAAUGUCUACUUUUCACCAGGACUUACUGGGAGAUCUUAGGGAGACCUCCCUAAGACCUUCCUAUUAAAAACUGCAUUUUGGAGAAAUGGAGAUACUAUCCACCUGGAUUUUGCUAGACCUUGAGGGUUCCCAGAGCUUUUUAAAGUCCACUGUCUAUGAGUCCCUGAUGGCUUUUGAUAAGAUAAAUGAAGAGAGGUAUGGCACCCAUACCAAGCUCUGGCUGGGUACCAUGUGUCCCCAAAGAUGAGAGGCCUCCUUGGCUACAAGGAAUGGAGACUCUCAGGGAAGGACCAGUAGGAGGGUCCUGCAGCUCGGAUCUCUGCCCAUCCAAGGCCUCCCAGCAACCUAGCACAGACCAUGGAGAAACCUAUCACCUAUCAGGCUUCAGGGUGACCAGGCCCCACAGCUGAGCUCCGGAAACUGGGUCAUUCAGGGCCAGGGCCACUCCUGACCAGAAUUCCUGAUACCCCAGACAAGUCAUUUGUAAUGAAUGUGACACAGCUGCAUCUCGCAUUUCUGCUUCUCUUUUGGUCUGACCAUUUAUCUUCCUGUUAACAACUCAGUAAUUUUCCUACUUUAAAUUCUGGAGAGAGAGAAAAAAAAUUAGUUUGGCUAAAUUCAUUACCAUUUUUCAAGUGAUUAUGGAUGUGCAAAAAACAAAUUAUCCCCAAACUUAGUGCCUUUAAAAAACAUAAAAGCAAAACUAUUUAUAUGCGUAUGGGCUUGCAAUUUGGGCAGGGCUUGGUGGGGAUAGCUCAUCCUGCUCACCUGUGGUGCUGGGAGGCUGAGUGCUGGAAUCAUCUGAAACCUUACUUUCUCACAUGCCACGCUGAUGCUGGCUCUCAGUUAAGACCUUUGGACAUUCACUGGGACACCUACAAAUGAUUGUAUUUAGCCAAGUCUUACUUUUCAUAUGCUGAUGUUUUAAUAUCUUGCAAGUCUUGCUGACCUUGGAGAUAUUAUCCCUUUCAGAUGAGCCACAAGAUGAUUCCUGGCAAACAACUCACCUGUGAGGGUGUCUUUCAUAUGAAAAGCAACCAAUCCAGUGUUCACACUGAAACCACCUUCUUCACCAAACAAUUAUGUUCCAGGGACCCCUAUAUUCUUGACCUAGAAACCCCGGAACUGGGUAAUUUGGGACAACCCCUAUGCCCCAGGGCUGCUGAAAUGAUUUAAACUUGCAGAUCCUGAAUCUGUACCCUGUCUCACCUGUUCCUUCCUGUGGAAACUGCAGUAAAGGCUCUUACCCUGAUUUCCCCUCCUCUGGUUUCUGGAUCAAUCUUGAUACUUCUUUCCUUGGAGGCCCCCAUGGCGUGAUGUUCCCUCUUCUUUCAGUGUGUAGCAUACUGUCUCUUCAGUGUCUCCUGUUUUCCUGUUGACUUCACCAGAUCUGAUUAAUAACAAUAAUAAACACUAUGUUUUUAAAUAGGGGUUUCUCUAGUGGCCUGAGCUUCCUCAUGAUCUGGUGGCUGAGUUUCAAGGUGGGUGUCUUCUGAACAAGAGUCCCAAGUGGAAGCCAUAUCACAUCUUAUAAUCAAGGCUUAGAAAUUACUCGGUGUCAUUUCUGUUGCAUUCUGUUCACCAAAACAACCACAAAACCCUGCCUGGGUUCAGGGGAAGAAGUAGCCUCCACCUCCUGAAGGGGUGUGGUGAGGUGUUAGAAGAGCAUGUUAAUUGAAAUAUUUGGUCAAUUUUGGAAAAUACAGUCCAGUUCUCCACUAUCCUCUCUGGGCAGAGCUCUUCAUGCCAGCCCAUCUCAGGGAUCACAGGUCAGUUGGUGAUUGGGCUGUUUACAAAUUAGGUGACUAAUCUGAUCCCCAGUGUUGCUCUUAGACAUGACCAAGGAGGGGUUCAUUCAAGCCUUUGUCCUCUUCUUCAUGGAAUGAGAAAUUUGCAGGAUACUAUGUGAAGUUUAUGCAACCACAGUCCUGUUAUAGAAUGCACUUUGGGUACCCAGACUCUAGAAGCUCCUAUCCAAACAGCUCUGAACCCACUUCUAAGAGGGAUAGGAAUCUCUUCAGCAGAUCUGUUUCUUGAAGGCAAAUCAUACUAUGGUGAGGAGAGGUUAAAAGGUGGUUAUUCUCAGAGUGGAGUGGGGUGAAGAUGCAGCUUGAACAUACCUUCUGUGGAAGAGCCUAUCUGCAUGAGCAUAGACUCACAUGUCAGGGAGAAGGGAGGUUGGUGGUAGACCAGGAGCUGGGCCUGAUGCUCUCUAUGUUGUCUCCCAGUGUAGCACUCUUAAGAAGUCUGAUCAUUUUAAGUUUGAACCUGGUCUUUCAGCCUCAUUAGAUGAGAUGGUGGGGGGGUCCCACUUAAUUCUCUCGUGCCACAAAUGACAGAGGUAGUCCAAUCAGCAUGGUUCAAUCAGCUGUGGGGAAUGGGUGUAGAGAGUAUGCUCCCCUGUUUUGGAUAGAUCCUAAGGCUGCUGGAGAUGUGUAAGGCCCUGUGAUGGGACUCAGCCUUCAAUACCCCUCUUUGAGACAGAGAUGAAUAAUGACAUUUUACAGAUGAGGACACAGGCUUAGUGAGGUUAAGUGGCUUGCUCAGUCACACAACUGGCGUGUGGAGAUGAGAUGGCAAUGACUACCUUUGUAUCUGGGUCUCCUUUCUGUCCAGGAAGCAGCUGCUCAAGAUUAUAGGCAGGUGUCUGGGAGACUUUCCAGAUCUUGCCUCUUAGCUCCUGCCACUAUUGUACAUUUAAGUAAGGUGGCUUAGAAAAGGAUUCUACUAGAUUUGUUUGAAGAAGGGAUGGCAUUGACAAAAAUCUAGAAAAUUACUCUGGGAUAAAUAAUAAUAGCCUGAGUGGAGAUGUGUUUAUUUGGGGUGAGUAGCAGAUAGGCUGAGAUGCAUCCUGAAAAAGUAGGCCCGAGACCCAAAAUUUUGUAUAUAUGUGCUCACUGGGCUUCGAUAUCCUCAGGAAGCAAAACUCACAACUCUAGACUGCAUAUCUGUUGAAUUGUCCCCAGAGAAAUAUGAAGAGAGAGAUCUGACAGGCUCAAAGUUAUAUCCAUUGUGUGCUUAGUUCUUGGCAUCUUCCUUUCCCUCAGUCAGGAAUGCCCUUCCCUGCCUCCUAAGACCUGGACCAUCAGGGAGCCUGGUCUGUGCUCUCCUUGGGCUAUGAGCUUGUUAAUAAGCAGAAAAGAGUGAUUGAAAGCUGGGAAGGGGGAGGUAGCAUGAACAUCCCCUAGAUCAAUGUGCAAACUUAUUUAGCACCUCCUGGCUCUGGCAAAUUGGGCUGCAUGCACCGAGGUAACCAUCUCAAGCUGCAUAGGGGCCCUGAAGGAGGCCCUGCUACUCACCUGGGUUUUCUUUCCUCCUCUGAAAGGCUUGAUAUGCCAAGAACAACAUUUCCCUUUUCAAUAAUAAAAACUACUUUCCUUUUUUCAUAACUUUAUUCAUUCACUUUAUAAGUUAAAGUUUCUUUUUCCCCUUUAUUUACAUAAACUUUUUUUUUUCUUCAACAGUGGGGCUCUGAAAGAUUGGGGAUACCCCUCUAGCACUGUGUGUGUGUCUGAGACCAAAAACCAGAAGGGCAGAUUGCUUACACCUUUCUGAGGCAGCUAAUGAAAUGCAGGCCUUCCGUGGGGGAAGACUGUCUGGACCGCAGCCGCUUGUUUCCAUCCCCGAGGACUAGAGCUGCCUUCAGAUUUCAACUGCUUUAUUGUCAAAUUUAUUAUUUAUAUAAGAGCUGUCUCUGCUUCCUCACUGAUGCUAGGCUAGUUUAAAAGUUCCAGAUGCAGCAAAGCAUGCACUGGCAAUAGUCGUUAUCAGCAAGACUGCUUAAGAUCAAAUCAAGAAAACAGCUUGAAACCAGAGACUGCCACUGAAGCAAAAUCCAGCCCAGCAGUCUGUGCUAGUGGCAGACACAAUUUGUUGUUGUUCUUGUUGUUUUUGCCUGUAUGGUGCAGACUCUCACAAUAUUUUGUUGUCAUUAUUCUUUGUCGUCUGUUAGCACUGCUGGGGGAGAACCCAGAGCCUCAGACAUGCUAGGCAACACUCUAUCCCUGAGCCACACCCCUCAUCCCUUUUAAAAAACUAAUAAUAAUUACAGAGUAAAGGAAACAUUAUGAAAAUAAAGAAUUCCUAUAAACUUCAAUUAGAUUACCCAAAUAUCAAUGUUUAUUCUCCCAGUUUAUUAUUGAAACUGCUUGAAAAUAAGCUGUGGAUUUACCCUAUUUACUUCAAAUUUUCCUAAAAUACAAAAACAGCCUUUAUAUAAUCACAAUACAAUUAUCAAAUCAGGAAACUCAUGCAGUUUGAUUAUCUAAUCUAUAGACCAUAUUCCCAUUUCACUAAUAGACCUACUCUGUCCUUUAAAGCAAUAGAGAAAAUUCAUUUUUUGUGGUUUAGGAUCCAAUGAGAGAUUAUGUUGCCAAGUUUCUUUGGUUUCCUUUAAUCUGUAUUAUUAUUAUUAUUAUUAUUAUUAUUAUUAUUAUUGUUAUUAUUAUUAUAUCUUCAUUACUUUGACAGUUUUGAAAAUUACAAGCUAGUUAUUUUGUAGAAUAUCCCUUAGUAUGGGUUUGUCCAUUGUUUCCUCAAUCUCAUGAUGACAUUGAGGUUGUGCAUUUGGGCACAGACACUCAACAGUGGUGUGUCAUCCUCAGCAGUGCGUAGUCUGAGGAGGCACACAUGUAGCUGUGUGGCACUAUUGGUGAUAAUUAACUUUAAUCACUUGGUUAAGGCAAUGUCUUUAAGGUUUCUACACUGCAAAUUCUGUCCCUUUGUAUUCUGUCCUUUGUAGCAUUUUCUAGGCAUAGGGGAGGUACUUUGAGAUCACAUAAAAAUCUUUGUUCCCAUUAUUCUUGCCUGAAUCAGUUAUUGUUACCAGAUUGACCCAGUUUGUCCAGAGAAAUUGGAUCAACUUGGCUUUUGAAUGUUUUUGGAGUAUCCCCUUUCUUCUUUGAGUUCAUCCUUACUUUCUGCUAUGAGAUCCUCUAAGUUCAUAUUGUCCUUUCCUUCUACUAACCCUGGAAUCAGUCAUCUCUCCAAGGAACCCCCAUUCUGUUUGAUGGAGAAUAGUAUUUAGAAACCAGGAGCUGGGUACUGGAUAUGCUCAUGGCUACUGCAGUAUCAUUGAUUCUAGGCUCACUUGAUGCACACAGCUAUGUAAGUUUAUAUACCAUCUAUCUGUGUCAAUCCAUCUAUCUGUCUACAUCUCUACUAACCAAUCAUCUAUCUAUACUCCACCUCCUAAAACCAUGAAUUUAUAAAGACACCUCAAAUUCCUAUCCCCAAACAUGUGAUUCAUUAUAGCUCCCACUUUUGCCAUAUUUGUAACUCCCUUCUGAUAGUGAGAAAUUGAUCCCAUUAUCUAUGGUAUAUUAUUUAUACAUGUACAUAUAUACUCAGUCUUACUUACAAUGUCCAGAAAGUAGCUUCAGAAUUGCUAAUCCAUUUCACCACAUGACAAAAGCAAAUCCAAAAAAACUCAACUUGCUUUUUGUCAAAAUAAUGUAUUCAAAAUGUAUUUGGUUUCAUUCUUCUACCCUUAAAUUAGGGUAACUUUUUUCUGUUUAUAUUCCAUUUUACACCACUGCCCCCAAUCCUGUUGAUGAUUAGUUUUUAGGUAAUACCAAUUUGGUUCCAAAAGUGAGAGCUACACAGAAAGGUAUUCCCAGAGAAGUGUUGUUACCCUUGGACCUCAGCCUCAACCUCACCAUCCUCUCUACCCUGCUUCUACCUGACCACUUCAGGUAACCAGUCUCAUUAGUUUCUGAUUUAUCUUGCCUGUGUUUUAUUUUGUUGUUGCUCUUCUUAUUUCUCAUUUCUCACAUAAAAGGUAGCAUACAAUAGAUAUGCAUUGUGCCUUUUUCACUUAAUAAUACAAUAUAGCCUGCAAAUCACUGGAUUUUAGUUCAGAAGGAUUUUCCUUUCUUUUCUUUAUCAUUGCAUAGCACAUACUUCAUUGUGUGGAUUUACCAUAGUUUAUUCAACCACCCUUCCAUGUAUGACAUUUUUGUCUGUUUAUCAAAUUUUGCAUUAAAAACAACACUGCAGUAACUACUUUCUAUGUUGUUGGAGGAGGAUCUUAAGGGUAAACUUCUGGAAAACUGGGUCAAAAGGUCAACACAUGUAUCUUUGCUAGGAAUUAAUUUCCUCCAGACAUGUUCUGUGGAGUGGCAUUUUCACCAGCCUCAUAGCAGAGUGCCACUUUCCCCAUACACUAUAGAAUGUGUGGUUAUGUUAAUUUUUUGCCAAUCUCUUGGGAAAGAUUGACAAAAGUUUAAAAUUGCAUUUCCCUUGUAAUUUGAAUCUUUUUUUUUUUUUUAAAAUAAGCUUAAGCCUACUUUAAUCUUUUGUAGUGAACCACUGAUUCAUGUUGUUUGCUUAUUUUCCUAUUCCUUUUAAAAUCUCACCUCUCUCAUUUUUAAAAGUUUUUUUUUUUUUUCCAUAUUAACGAUUUGGGUCCUUUAUCUGUAACAUAGACUGAAAAUAUCUUCUUCCAUUUGGUUAUUUGACUUUUGAUUUUGUUUAUGGUAUAUUUUGCCCAGAAAAAAAGUUUUAGUUUUUUGUAGUUAAAUCAAUCUGUUCCUUUACUGCUACUAGAUUUGACUCAUAGUUAGAAAGCCUUUCUCUAUACCCAGAUUUUACAGGAAUCCAUACUAGUAUUUGUAUGUUUUUUCUUUUAUAGUUAUAUCUCUGUUCCCUUUAGAUUUUAUGAAGUAUGAAUGUGGUUUUAUCUGUUCCAUGGCUACCCACUGUCCAAGCACCACUUAUUAGAGUCAGUCUUUGAGAUUGGUACCUAUAUCAUAUGCUACUCUUCUAUAUGUAUUUGGGUUGAGCUCUAGACUUUUUAUUUUGUUCUGCUGCUCUGUCUAUUCAUGAACUAAUACCAUACUGUUUUAAUUAUAGAGGGUUUAUAAUAUGUUUUAAUAUAUAGUAGGGCUGGUCUCCUAUCUCCAUGGUAGCUUUUAUUUUUUUAAAUUUCCCCUCACUAUUUUUGUAAAUAUUCUUGCAUAUUUGUUUGUUCAUACAAACUGUAGUAUCACUGGUGGUGUGAAACUCCACAUCAUGUAAAACCACAAGAAUGGGGAUCCUAACUAGAAUAAGUUAUACUCUAUGUAUAUAUAAUUUGUCAAAAUACACUCUUUUGUCAUGUAUAUCUAAAAUGAACAAAUAAAAAACCUUUAG
rnacentral:lncRNA from 1 species